rnacentral:rRNA from 1 species
AGAGUUUGAUCAUGGCUCAGAACGAACGCUGGCGGCGUGCUUAACACAUGCAAGUCGAACGCGAAAGAAUUCUUCGGAAUUUGAGUAGAGUGGCGCACGGGUGAGUAACGCGUAAGUAAUCUACCCUGGUAUCUGGGAUAACUCACCGAAAGGUGUGCUAAUACGGGAUACGCUGGUAACAGGAAAGAUGGCCUCUUCAUGAAAGCUAUCGUACCAGGAGGAGCUUGCGUACCAUUAGCUAGUUGGUAGGGUAAAGGCCUACCAAGGCGACGAUGGUUAGCGGGUCUGAGAGGAUGAUCCGCCACACUGGAACUGAAACACGGACCAGACUCCUACGGGAGGCAGCAGUGAGGAAUAUUGCGCAAUGGGGGAAACCCUGACGCAGCGACGCCGCGUGGAUGAUGAAGGCCUUCGGGUCGUAAAAUCCUGUCAGGUGGAAAGAAGUGUAGUAUGCCUAAUACGUGUACUAUUUGACGGUACCACCAAAGGAAGCACCGGCUAACUCCGUGCCAGCAGCCGCGGUAAUACGGAGGGUGCAAGCGUUGUUCGGAAUUACUGGGCGUAAAGCGCGCGUAGGCGGUUUUAUAAGUCAGAUGUGAAAGUCCACGGCUCAACCGUGGAAGUGCAUUUGAAACUGUGAGACUUGAGUACUGGAGGGGGUGGUGGAAUUCCCGGUGUAGAGGUGAAAUUCGUAGAUAUCGGGAGGAAUACCGGUGGCGAAGGCGACCACCUGGCCAGAUACUGACGCUGAGGUGCGAAAGCGUGGGGAGCAAACAGGAUUAGAUACCCUAGUAGUCC